AUCCCGAUAUAAUUAUUGUACAAGCCGUUAGCAAGA
rnacentral:misc_RNA from 1 species